rnacentral:rRNA from 1 species
GUCCACGCUGUAAACUAUGGACACUAGGUAUAGGGAGUAUCGACCCUCUCUGUGCCGAAGCUAACGCGUUAAGUGUCCCGUCUGGGGACUACGGCCGCAAGGCUAAAACUCAAAGGAAUUGACGGGGCCCGCACAAGCAGCGGAGCGUGUGGUUUAAUUCGAUGCAAAACGAAGAACCUUACCAAGGUUUGACAUGACGGAAGUAGUAACCUGAAAAGGAACGACCUGUAAAGUCAGGAGUCGCCACAGGUGCUGCAUGGCUGUCGU